rnacentral:rRNA from 1 species
UACGAAGGGGGCUAGCGUUGCUCGGAAUCACUGGGCGUAAAGCGCACGUAGGCGGCUUGUUAAGUCAGGGGUGAAAUCCUGGAGCUCAACUCCAGAACUGCCUUUGAUACUGGCGAUCUUGAGUCCGGGAGAGGUGAGUGGAACUGCGAGUGUAGAGGUGAAAUUCGUAGAUAUUAGGAAGAACACCAGUGGCGAAGGCGGCUCACUGGCCCGGUACUGACGCUGAGGCGCGAAAGCGUGGGGAGCAAACAGG